AUUGAACGCUGGCGGCAGGCUUAACACAUGCAAGUCGAGCGGAGUGAUGGUGCUUGCACUAUCACUUAGCGGCGGACGGGUGAGUAAUGCGUAGGAAUCUGCCUAUUAGUGGGGGACAACAUCUCGAAAGGGAUGCUAAUCCCGCAUACGUCCUACGGGAGAAAGCAGGGGAUCACUUGUGACCUUGCGCUAAUAGAUGAGCAUAAGUCGGAUUAGCUAGUUGGUGGGGUAAAGGCCUACCAAGGCGACGAUCUGUAGCGGGUCUGAGAGGAUGAUCCGCCACACUGGGACUGAGACACGGCCCAGACUCCUACGGGAGGCAGCAGUGGGGAAUAUUGGACAAUGGGGGGAACCCUGAUCCAGCCAUGCCGCGUGUGUGAAGAAGGCCUUAUGGUUGUAAAGCACUUUAAGCGAGGAGGAGGCUCUUUUGGUUAAUACCCAAGAUGAGUGGACGUUACUCGCAGAAUAAGCACCGGCUAACUCUGUGCCAGCAGCCGCCGUAA
rnacentral:rRNA from 1 species